CUUUUACAAUGAAGAGUUUGAUCCUGGCUCAGGAUGAACGCUAGCUACAGGCUUAACACAUGCAAGUCGAGGGGCAGCAUCAUCAAAGCUUGCUUUGAUGGAUGGCGACCGGCGCACGGGUGAGUAACACGUAUCCAACCUGCCGACAACACUGGGAUAGCCUUUCGAAAGAAAGAUUAAUACCGGAUGGCAUAGUUUUCCCGCAUGGGAUAAUUAUUAAAG
rnacentral:rRNA from 1 species